rnacentral:rRNA from 1 species
AACGUAGGAGACAAACGUUAUCCGGAGUUACUGGGCGUAAAGGGCGUGUAGGUGGUUUCGUAAGUCUGGCGUGAAAUUUUUCGGCUUAACCGGGAAAGGUCGUCGGAUACUGCGGAGCUAGAGGACGGUAGAGGCGUGUGGAAUUCCGGGUGUAGUGGUGAAAUGCGCAGAUAUCAGGAGGAACACCGGUGGCGAAGGCGGUUCUCUGGGAAUGUCCUGACGCUGAGGAGCGAAAGUGUGGGGAGCGAACAGG